AUAACUCAAAAAACACAAAUAAUAAAAAAUGAAAGUGAUUUUGCCCAUAACAACCAAUCAGAUCUUUGCUUUUCUAACGUAUAGGUGACUGUUGCUAUCUAAUAGCCGAAUGGUUAUUAUGGGUUAUAUCACCGGUGAUGUUUUUCUCCAAGCUUGAUAAAUAGACCCCUAGAAAUUAAUUUAAAGGUGAACAAUCCCUUUCAUUCUCAAGCAAAUCAGGGCUUAACGUUGAGAUCUUUGACACAAUCGCAGAUGAGCCCCCAGUUCUUUUUCUGUUUGUUGUUGUUUGUUGUUUCAUUGAGUCAGAACCAGCAGUGCAGAGAAUAUAAACAAACAGAAUUCAAUAACAAUUACAUUUACAAAUCAAUUUAAAGGCACUUUAAAAAGGUACAUUAUUUGCUUCAAAGACCUCGGUGGGACACUGCGAAAAUCCUGGGUGGGCUCGUGACACAGCAUCCCUAGUGGGCCCUAUACCCCCAGUCAAUGCUGCUUACAGAUCAAUAAACAGGAGAAUUCUUUAACAAGGAGAAAAACAUCCAAUUUGGGUUUUACUCCAGCCAGGGCUUUUUUUUAAAGGCCAAGUAAACAGAAAAGUAAGGAAAGCAGAGUGUAGCAAGACAUGUUCAGUUACUGGGGCACCAUCUGGGGUGUGACUCACUGCCUGAUGUACUAAUACUUGGUCGAGGGUGCAGUUAGCGGAAGUUUGUUAGACAGGAACCUGUGGUUUUUAGUAGCGAGAAGAUGACACAAUUUCCCCUCAUCACCUCAAGAAAAAAUAAGGGCACAGCACCGGAGGGACGACGGAAUCAGCACCAAGCUCAUACGGUUGCCUCCAGUGAUGGCUGUACUUCCCACCAGUGCAUCUCUUUUGUCUCCAGCUUCAAAUUCCCUGUGGGUCCCUCAGCUCUGCAGUAAUUGCCUGCUGGUGGUUCUUGUAUUGGGUUUUUUUACUGGUCUCUUCAUGGUCCUCUCCCUCUCACUGUGCUUCAUACUCGCUCGGAAGAAUUCACAACGCUCAAGGGUCACUACGCCUGCCCCGGUACCCUUAGAACUGUGGGCUUCUUCCCCACUCUCUCUAAGCCAGACUGAGCUCCUCUGGGUUCCAGACUCCAGGAGAAUGGACUACCCUGUAGACGUUCCAGCCAGUGCUCCACAAUUGGAAGAAGUGCCAGUCCCACAGCCGCGGGUGACUAUGCAGGACAUUGGAGAAUUCUGGUGGCGCAGCACAGCUCAGCAGGUUUGAAAUACCCGGACAAGCCUCUUUAAUGUGUUCUAACCUUUGGGACCUUCAGAAACAUCUUGGGCAGGCUUGAGAUAACCCAGACAUUUAUUCUAUUGUACCAUUGAGAAUCUCAAUCUUUUAGGACAUACCAUCUAUUAUCCUUCCUGAGAUAACCUAGACCCCUAAACUUUGGUACCAUCACAAACUAAGACAAGUCUGUUUGGAUAGGCCAACUAUUAACCUGCCUGAGAUAACCCAUAACUGUUGGACUGGAACUCCAUUUCUACCAGUAGGAUCAAACAACACAGUAAACUUUGUGGGUAACGGCCUCACCAAACUUACUGAAAACUUUGUUGCUCUUGGUCCAGUAAGGGAUAUCAGACUGCUUGGUCAGGCCAAUCCCAAAUGUCUAAAAUAAAUGUUAGAGAACAGACUAUAUUGCCCAUCCAUAGGAUGAAAUGCAUCUGUGGGUAAUAAUUGUAAAUAUCCUCCUUGCAUUAAAUAAAUCCUAUUUAUAAGUA